AGGCCUAACACAUGCAAGUCGAGCGGUAACUGGGGAUCCUUGGUUCCCGCUGAGAAUCGGGGGAGGGAUGAUGAACGUCUAUAAAUCUGCCCCCUAGUGGGGGAUGGCCCGGGGAAACCCGGAUUAUCACCGCAUACGUCUUACGGGAGAAAUCGGGCGAUCUUCGAAUAUUGCGCUGUUGGAUUAGCCUACUUCCGAUUAUCUAUUCGGUGGAUGAAAUGACUACCAGGGCAACGAUCCGGAGAUGGACUGAGAGGCUGAUCUCCCACGUCGGGACUGAGACAGGAACCUAACUCCAAGGGGACGCACCUGAUGUAAAUAUUGGACGUGGGGGGCAACCCUGAUCCGGCCAUGCCGCGUGUUCGAAAAGGGCGUUCGGGAUAUAAAGCACUUUCGAUACGGAGGAAAACCUUAUGCCUAAUACCGAUGAAAUAUGACGUUACCUACCUAAGAAGCUCCUGAUAACUCCCUGCCAGUAGUCGCGCUGUACUGUAGGUGCGAGCUUUAAUCGUAAUUACUGUCCUAAAAUGCGCGUAAGACUAUUGGUCUACGAGAUGUGUUAUCCGUGGCUUAUCCUACUACGGCAUUU
rnacentral:rRNA from 1 species